CACACAUCGCGAUACUUGCCAUCAGUUUCCAUGUGCCACAGGGUCGAUGUAAAGGAAGCAGUCAUCCCUGUGGUGUUUGUGGAGAGGUUUUCCUUCAGAAAUGGAGAAGACUGAAAGCUGCGGAGGCAGACAUUUGCAGCAGAUUGUUUGCAGAUAAUGCUGUUCAAGCUCAACAGCUCUUUUAAGAGCCAACCCUCACAAACCUUCCUAAAAACUAAGAGCUAUUACUGAGUCUC